AUGCCAUCUGCGAAACGUCCCCGCUGAGGCUGAGGAUGUUUGCGGCCCUGGGAACCCACUGAGCAGCUCACCCCUGAGGGCACUUUCAAGACAGGCACCUGGCGAGGGCUCACCCUGGAGAAAGGGCAAGGACUCAUGGGGACAUGCCAAUAACACCUGGUCAGAUGGGAUCUUCUCAGAAACAUUGAAGAAAUGUUAACUUAAUUUUAUCUAUGCAGGAAGUGUUACCUGUUCAAUCCCUUCUACCUUUAAAAGGAGGUGGACGGGAUCUCACACUUCAGGAAAAGCUUCAUUUUUGAAAUCCACUCAUGGUGACUCCAUCUACAUCAGCAUCCAUCAAUUGCAAGGUUGGAUGGAUGAGCAAGAAUUUCUUCCAUGUAAGGCAUGAUCGGAAAAUACAUGGUGAAUAUCCAGAUGUAAACCUGCGUUCAGAGCCAAACUGCAAUGGAGCCCAGCAGUAACUGGAUGUCAGUGAGGCAUUAGGUUCGAGUUGGUUCUAGACAGAGAAAAACAAUAUCUGGACCUAACCCUCCUGUGGCUACACACGUUUGGAUGCACCCAGAAAGUCCACGUGGGUGAAGCCCAUGUGGUGAAAAUUGGCCCCAAAGGAGCGGUGAGGAAAAUCCCUGAGCAGAGAAAAAUUUGUGAGACACUGCAAAUAAAGCGUAUCACAACUGUGAACUACACUUGAAGGUCAUUUUAUAGGAACAUAAUAACCUCAAUUGCAUAUUUUAGGAAAGAAGGAUGGAAAGCAAUAAACUGAGCAUACAGUUCAUGAAGUUCUAAAAAAUAUGAGAUGUGAAAGUAAAUAAAGCCUAAAUGUAGAAGUGAAGAUAUUAAAAAAAACCCUAAUAGAUAAUAACUAUAAAUAUAGAGGGUAAAAAUUUGCUUUUUGAAAUGUUAUAAAAUUGAUAGAUUGUAGGAAGAUAAAGGAAAAAAUUACAAAGCUUCAAAAACAAAUGAAAAAUAUUGCCUUUCUAGAGCUAUAACAGAGGGGGAGUUGAUAAUAAAAGAAUAUUAACAAAUUUACGCAGUAAAAAUAAGGGAAUUGAAGCAUACAUAUAUUUCUCCUUUGACCAUUGAGUCUAAUAAUGUUCUGGGUACUGGGUCAAUCAAUUAAAGAAAAAGAGAGAAAAUGAAAAAGAAAAUGUAGCAAGAAAAAAGCUGGAACCUCCUCUCUUACGGAGCUUCAAUUCUAUUGUGUAAAAUCAUUUCGAAGACAUUCAAUUUUAUUUGAUAGAUCUAUGCACAAUAGCUUCUUCUAUUUUUUUAUUUUCUUGGUACCAGGGAUUGAACUUGGGACCUUGAGCUUGCGAGGCAGAUGGCAGAGCCACUGAGCUAAAUCCCAGCCCCACACAAUAGCUUCUUAUCUCAUUUUCAACUUUUUUGUACUUAUGAUUAACUGUAUUUUUACAGUUUCGUGCCUGACUUUUUCCUUUGUAUCUGUAGUUAAUUGUAUGUUUUUUUUGUGGGGUUUUUUUUUGGUACCGGGGAUUGAACUCAGGACCUUGUGCUUGUGAGACAGGCGACCGCACCACUGAGCUAAAUCCCCGGCUAAUUGUAUGUUUUUAAGGUCUGUGUGUGAUUUCUCUUUCUGUUUUACAAAAAUAGCCAAAACAUACUAGUUUUGUCAUUAUUGUCUUAUGUGAUCAGCUUGCCACAGGCACUGUGAAGGUAUCCACUAAAAGCGUAUCAUCAGAACAAAGCAGAGGCCCUGUAACUUUCAGAACUAGGAGACAGAUAAACCUCUCUUCUUUAGAAAGUUUCCUAGUCUCAAGAAGUUUGUUAUGAUGAUGGAAAAUUUCCUAAUACAGAUUGUAAGCAAAGAUGUUCUUUUAAAAACAUAAAAUAAAUAAAGUUAUUUUGGAAACUGAUCUACCAUACUUAGAUAUUGAAAAUGCAUGGACGUUUCAUUAUCCUAGAGAGAGGCUAUACAGUCUCAAGUAAACUCAAGUUCUAUUUUGUUUAGUACUCUAUUAGCAAGCCACGACUUCUUUUCUUGUGUUUUCCUGCUACAAUACAUAAAGCUAGGCACUGCAUCUCAAAUUGUUUUAUCAAGGUUGAUUGCCUACAGAAGUACAAUCUUGUAUGAAAACUUAUAAAAACUAGCUUAGAUACUUG